UCCCUGCUAGCUCAGUGGUAGAGCGCUUCACUAGUAUGUCCUCCGGAUAUCUUAUGAAGAGGUCAGUCGUUCAAGUCGGCUGCGGGGAA